rnacentral:rRNA from 1 species
GAUGAACGCUGGCGGCGUGCCUAAUACAUGCAAGUCGAGCGAACGGACGAGAAGCUUGCUUCUCUGAUGUUAGCGGCGGACGGGUGAGUAACACGUGGAUAACCUACCUAUAAGACUGGGAUAACUUCGGGAAACCGGAGCUAAUACCGGAUAAUAUUUUGAACCGCAUGGUUCAAAAGUAAAAGACGGUCUUGCUGUCACUUAUAGAUGGAUCCGCGCUGCAUUAGCUAGUUGGUAAGGUAACGGCUUACCAAGGCAACGAUGCAUAGCCGACCUGAGAGGGUGAUCGGCCACACUGGAACUGAGACACGGUCCAGACUCCUACGGGAGGCAGCAGUAGGGAAUCUUCCGCAAUGGGCGAAAGCCUGACGGAGCAACGCCGCGUGAGUGAUGAAGGUCUUCGGAUCGUAAAACUCUGUUAUUAGGGAAGAACAUAUGAGUAAGUAACUGUGCACAUCUUGACGGUACCUAAUCAGAAAGCCACGGCUAACUACGUG